rnacentral:sRNA from 1 species
UGCAAAAUUUUAACUGCUGGCUAAGGGU